ensembl:lncRNA
GCCCCGCUCCCAGCCCCUUCCCCCCGCGAACCGAGCAGCAGAGGGAAAACGGCCCCACUGAAGUGGCGGACAGGAGGCUCUCGACAGAUUCUCAACGAAUUUCGCCUCCUCGCAGCCCCCCCCUUAUCAUUUUUCCACCCAAAACCCCUCGCACCCCCCUCGGAACCCGGAGGCAGCGGGGGAAGCACCGCCACGGGAACGCGGCGGCAGCACCGACGGCUGUGGCCCCGCUCCGCUCCGCUCCGCGCCCGGGCUGCGCUCUGCCCCGCACCGCUCCGCGGGCGGCACCGGGGCGUCCCUCGGGCUCCGCUCCGUCUGCCGGAGACGUUUCCCAUUUCUCCUCACAAAAACCCAUUUUUCCGUUCUGCUCCCCCGAACGCCCAUACUUAUUGCACAGAAUUCAUAUAUUGAACAGAAAAGCCCUCCGCGAGUUUUCUUUGUUUAAUUGUCCCCGAGGUGCGCAGCCCGCACUGCACAUAACGGCCACGGGAGAUCCGUGCGGGGCGGCGCGGGGGGAGCGGCGGCAUUUGGGGUUCGGGCCGGGUGGGAAACAGCACCGCUGCGGCACUGCGUGGGGAUCACCGCGGUUCUGUGGUUCAGGAGAGAAAGAAUAAUAGACGUUCCCGAAGUGGAGGUGGGGGGAGCGCCUGUUUGGUUCGCUGCUUUUCGGAGGUCACAACGAGCAUUUUUGUUUUACUACAGAAAACGGAAAACCCGACACUGAAUGAUUUUCUGAUGCCGUUCUUUGGGGGGGAGAGGAGGGGGAGAAGAGGGGAGGGCUGCGGUUGGGGUGCGGCACGGAGCGGAGCUUCCAGAAAACGCCUCACAUACCGCCCCCCCCCCCCCCCCCCCCCUUCUUUUUUAUUUAUUUAUUUUAUUUAUUGCUGUAUUUUCCUUCUGACGGAAGCAGGAGGGGAAUUGGGUGCAAAGCGGAUGAAAUGCGUCAAAAAGAGCCGUCGCCGCAGCGGGGCUGCGCUCCACGGGGGUCUCUCGGCCGCCGCUGCCCUCCGGGCCCGACCCCAACGGGGAUCGCACUGCGCCGGCCGGGAAUUAACACAAAUCAGCGCACAAAUAGGUCGAGAAACAAAGAAAAAACAAAACCAAACCAAAAUAAAACGGAGCCAUCAGAGCGCGCAGAUGAACACCUCGGGGUUCAUGCAAUGAUUUUUUUUCUUUUUUAAAUUUCGUUAUUAUUAUUAUUAUUAUUAUUUCUUAUUUAGCCAACGAUAAAUUCAUUGCAAAAGACGCGAAGGAGAUCGAUGUUGGGGGCCGCAGAGGGCGUCAGGGAGGAAACAACGAAUAUUCGCCCAAAUCGCGGCGUGCUGCGGAGGCAUUGGGGCAUUUCCCCCCUCCUCCCCAUCUCUCGCCCCGCAGAGCCCCGGCCCUGCACCGCUGAGGGCCCGCGCGGUGCGGAUCUGAGGGGUGCGUCGGGCUCGGGAGACAUAUUUAGAAGCACCAUUAAGAUAAUGAUGAUAAUCAUCAUUAAAAACACCGGAAAACGUCCACGGAGCCUAAAGAGGACCCCGGUCCGGUGCGGGACAAACGUGUCCCCAGGCAGCGCCAGCCGGGGGAGGGUGCUUCUGGGCGGGGGCGCGGGGCUUUGUGCUGCUGCUGGAUACGGCGGUACCCCCACACAAACCCUCACAGCCCCGGCAUACACGUGCCGAGACACGGAGAUAAACGGGAGGGUGAGGGACGCCGGCGGGCUCAGCGCUGCGGGCAUCCGAGGGGUGCGGGACACCGGGGCUCUUCCUCGACUCCCAAAUUCCCCCCCGCUUCUGGGGCAUCGCUGAGCCCCCCCCCGCCCAGGGGGACCGCCGUGGGGACCGCACCCCGGGCAGCCCCGAUUGCUGCCCCGCGUCCGAAGGUGGGAGAAGGAGAUUUUGUUCGGCGGCGCCUGGAAAUAAAAAUCGCCCCGAACUUCUGCCGGCGGCUGAAAAUGGGGAUAGAACGCAGCGAAAGGAGGGGAAAUAAAAAGAGAAAAAGGAAGGAAAAGGAGGAGAGAGGCAGAGGAAGAGAAGAAAAAGAGAGGUGGUCAGGCAUGCCCAGAAGGAAUAGGAAAGAAGACGGAUGCUGCUGCCAAGAUUCAGCCCAGCAGAGCUGCACUUCAGCGGAUAUUUGAGACUGAAACAACGUUGGACCUUUUGCAGCUUUCCUUAGCUACAAAUCUAAAAUCACACAGAGGUGUGAUCAGAAACAUUCCCAGAAACACAAGGGAAACUCAGAAGGAUCGGGUAGGGAAACUGCUG